AGAAUCAACGCCGGCGGCGUGCCUAACACAUGCAAGUCGAACGAGAAAGUGGUAGCAAUACCAUGAGUAAAGUGGCGCACGGGUGAGUAACACGUGACUAACCUACCCUUGAGUGGGGAAUAACCUCGGGAAACCGGGCUAAUACCGCAUAACACCUACGGGUCAAAGGAGCAAUUCGCUUAAGGAGGGGUCGCGGCAGAUUAGUUAGUUGGCGGGGUAAUGGCCCACCAAGACGGUGAUCUGUAUCC
rnacentral:rRNA from 1 species